UUCUCAUAAGUCUAUCUGCCAUGGAGACCUAGUGGAAGGACUUCUGGGUGGAGCUGGUUGAUACUAUCUUGUUUAGACUCUUCUGUCCACAUUUUCAGCAGAAGCAGAGAAAAUCUGGCCUUUGAUCCAGACUAAGACGGCUGCCCCUCUGACACUUGAAGAAUGUGUGAAUUGAAGCUGCUGCUAGAGUGGAAGACAGCCCCCAGUAAUGCUAUACAAAAACUUAAGGAAAGGUUCCUGGCACCUGGCAGAGUCGCCUCUCUCUGGGUACUGCUGAGAUUUCCCUGCCGCAGAAGACUUGUCGAGGAGGCCCACAAAAAUGCUUCCCAAGAGUUACACGUGGGUCAAAGUGUGGUUCAGCUUUUCUCCCCGACCACGAGGGCUAGAAAUUAAAAGAAGAAGAAGAAAUCUGAGACUCUCAGCACUCCAGGAGUUGGGGCUUUCAGAGAAACACCAAAUAUGGUAGGACUCAGGUGCUGGCAACAUUGACUCCAACUGCUUACUCUUGUUUAUUCCCCUCAGUAUGGUUGUAGGGCAUGUAUGGCUGGAACGCAUUCUUGCCCAUGGUCCCUUCCACCUAAGCCCAAAGUUCUUGUGUGUGGUUGCACAAAGUACUAGGAGAGAGCAAUCCUGCAUUGACCACAAGAUUGGUGGGCGAAAACACUGAUUGGUGGACCUAGCAUGGCUUUUCCAAUUCUGAUUUCUGAGAGAGUUUAUGAAGAGCUACCUUGGCUCAUGGAUGUAGCUGAC